UACGUAGGGUGCAAGCGUUGUCCGGAAUUAUUGGGCGUAAAGAGCUCGUAGGCGGUUUGUUGCGUCGGCUGUGAAAUCCCGAGGCUCAACCUCGGGUCUGCAGUCGAUACGAGCAACUAGAGUGUUGCAGGGGAGACUGGAAUUCCUGGUGUAGCGGUGAAAUGCGCAGAUAUCAGGAGGAACACCGGUGGCGAAGGCGGGUCUCUGGGCAACAACUGACGCUGGAGGAGCGAAAAGCCGUGGGGAGCAACAGG
rnacentral:rRNA from 1 species